rnacentral:rRNA from 1 species
GAUGAACGCUGGCGGCGUGCCUAAUACAUGCAAGUCGAGCGAACAGAUAAGGAGCUUGCUCCUUUGACGUUAGCGGCGGACGGGUGAGUAACACGUGGGUAACCUACCUAUAAGACUGGGAUAACUUCGGGAAACCGGAGCUAAUACCGGAUAACAUUUGGAACCGCAUGGUUCUAAAGUGAAAGAUGGUUUUGCUAUCACUUAUAGAUGGACCCGCGCCGUAUUAGCUAGUUGGUAAGGUAACGGCUUACCAAGGCAACGAUACGUAGCCGACCUGAGAGGGUGAUCGGCCACACUGGAACUGAGACACGGUCCAGGCUCCUACGGGAGGCAGCAGUAGGGAAUCUUCCGCAAUGGGCGAAAGCCUGACGGAGCAACGCCGCGUGAGUGAUGAAGGGUUUCGGCUCGUAAAACUCUGUUAUUAGGGAAGAACAAACGUGUAAGUAACUGUGCACGUCUUGACGGCACCUAAUCAGAAAGCCACGGCUAACUACGUG